CUUAUACUAACGUUUGUCGAUAAACUGAUCUAUGAAAACAGAGUAAAACAGAAAGAAAUAUAAAUUAUCGGUAUUUGACAGAAAUUUGACUCUGUUUAUAUACAGAGAGAGAGCAGCAGAGAGAAGCCACAACACUGAACUCACUCUCCGUCAAAAAUGGACCCUCUCUCCGUUCUACGAGACUUCACAACCCGAAACGAGCUGAGUCAAAUCGUCCGAGUCGGCGACCACUACCGCUUCGGCAACUCCUACACAUUCCCUUGCUCAAUCGAAACCGCGUAUCGCUCUAAACAAGGUAAUCUCUACACUCUCGAAACCCUAGUUUACUUCGUCACUAAUCUCAAUUCCAAGCAUCAUGAUUACAUUCGUAUUGCUGGGACCCACAAGAUUCCUGCUGUUACUUUUCUUGAUCGAAAGCCGUUGAUUGAUUAUUUACACGGUAAGAUCGAUUCGACGGACGCGAUUGAGUUUGUUGCCCCGCAGGCGAAGUACUCGGGUUUCGAUGAGUAUCGACCCGAGGAGGCUAAUUUGGGGGGGAUGGGGUUGGAGGGGGAGAUUGAUUUGAAUGAGGGAUUUGGCGGGGGAGUUGUCGAGGAUGGGGUUGCGUUGGUGAGGGAGAUUGAGAGGCCGUUUAAGGACCGGGAGAGUUUGUUGCAGUGUAGGAAUAGGGAUUUUUAUUCGGUGUUGGUUGGGGCGACAAAGAGGAAUGAGGAACGGGAGAGGAGUGAAAUGCAGCAGAGGAAAGAUGGGUUGGUUGCCAAGAGUAGGAUUGAGAGGAGGUAUGGGGAGGAGGUUGGGGGGUUUGAUGCGACGCCCAAGGCGAAGAUGCAUUUGAAGGGGAGUAAGAUUGGUGAGGGGGUUCCUAUUAUUUUGGUUCCGAGUGCUUCGCAGACGUUGAUUACGAUUUAUAAUGUUAAGGAGUUUUUGGAAGAUGGGGUUUAUAUUCCGACAGAUGUGAAGGUGAAGCAGAUGAAGGGGCCGAAGCCGGAUUGUGUUACGGUUCAGAAGAAGUUUAGUAGGGAUAGGGUUGUGACAGCUUAUGAGGUAAGGGAUAAGCCUUCGGCUUUGAAGGCAGAAGAUUGGGACAGAGUAGUGGCUGUUUUCGUGUUGGGCAAGGAAUGGCAAUUUAAAGAUUGGCCUUUUAAGGAUCAUGUCGAGAUCUUCAACAACAUUCUUGGUUUUUACAUGCGUUUCGAGGAUGAUAGUGUGGAGUCGGCAAAAACUGCCAAGCAGUGGAAUGUGAAGAUCAUCUCGAUCAGUAAAAACAAGCGGCAUCAGGACAGAGCUGCAGCACUAGAUGUAUGGGACAGACUAGAAGAAUUCAUGCGGUCAAGAUCACGUUCUUAAGGUCAACGGAGCUUUAAACACCACUCAAGUCUACUUAAAGUCUGACAAACUUGUUAAUUUUAUAAGGAUAAUAUGAACGCAGGACCUGUUCUGUUUUGACAGACGUGACACGCAACUUACAAGAGUGGCAUGUUGCCAGUGAGGGAGUGCAAGGCCCAUUUGGUGAAUGAGUAUCUGUUUUUUAGAUCCAAUUUGUCAUGUUUUUGUAUAAAUUGUAUCAUUAUGAUACUGUAGUUAUGUAGUUGUAUCUAGCUCCUAAUGCACACCUCGAUCGUGAUGUCUAGUUUUACUUGAGAAGAGAAGUGGACUUAUUAUAUAUGGAUUUUUGAGAGCUCUGAUGUGAUUGAUUAUAGUA